rnacentral:rRNA from 1 species
GCAGGGGCAACCUUGUGAGUAAAGUGGCGUACGGGUGAGUAACACGUGGGUGAUCUACCUCUUAGUGUGGAAUAACCCUGGGAAACCGGGGCUAAUACCGCAUAAUCCCGAGAGGGGAAAGCAGCAAUGCGCUGAGAGAGGAGCCCGCGGCCGAUUAGCUAGUUGGCAGGGUAAAAGCCUACCAAGGCGAAGAUCGGUAGCCGGCCUGAGAGGGCACACGGCCACACUGGCACUGAAACACGGGCCAGACUCCUACGGGAGGCAGCAGUGGGGAAUCUUGCACAAUGGGGGAAACCCUGAUGCAGCGACGCCGCGUGAGCGAUGAAGCCCUUCGGGGUGUAAAGCUCUUUCGGCAGGGAAGAUGAUGACGGUACCUGCAGAAGCAGCUGCGGCUAACUACGUGCCAGCAGCCGCGGUAAUACGUAGGCAGCAAGCGUUGUUCGGAGUUACUGGGCGUAAAGGGUGUGUAGGCGGUCGUUUAAGUUUGGUGUGAAAUCUCCCGGCUCAACUGGGAGGGUGCGCCGAAUACUGAGCGGCUAGAGUGCGGGAGAGGAGAGUGGAAUUCCUGGUGUAGCGGUGAAAUGCGUAGAUAUCAGGAGG